GUGCCCUCUUUGACAGCACAUAUAUUAAAAAUUGGAAUGAUACAGGGAAACAUGACCCUUGCCCAAGAAUCACAUGCAAAUUCAUGAAACAUUACAUAUUUAA
ensembl:snRNA Gm23080 U6 spliceosomal RNA